rnacentral:lncRNA from 1 species
AUUUCCUAGAGACAAAUUAGAUGAAAUCUAGAUGGUAAAUUAGUUGUGAUGGUGGCUAUCAAAAUUCCAAGAUAUACUCUGAAGGCUUAUAUGUCAACCAACGAUCACUAAGGUAAAUUCUUCAUUCAAUCAUGUAUUCUGAUUGUGAUAUUUCAAGCAUUAUUUCAAACUCACAAUCUGAUUAACAUUUUGAUUAAGAAGACUUUUUAUUUUAAGAAAGAUUAAUUUAUUUUAUAAAUUGCUUUCCAGUUUUGAACAUUAAAAGUCUUUUUUGAUUGGAAAUCAAUUAGUCUGAUUUUGAAAAAUUAAUCUAUUGAUUAGGAACUAAUUGAUCUUGUUUCCAGCUUUGAAAACCAUUAUGAAAAGCAAGGCUUGGUUUUCAUUCAUUCAACAACUUUCAACGACUAGAGUAUUUCUUGAGUUUUCAUAUUCACAAAAGAAAGUUGUUGUGCUUUGUUGUUCAUAAGGAUAAAUCAUCAAGAGUAAGAUUAUCUUGGUGAUUUGUCCUUGCAUUCGUUUGCAUAAGUUACAAGGUUCUCAUACCUCCGGUGAGUUUGGAUCAAUCGCGUCAAGAAUCAGAUUCAACAUAAAGAGAGAAGGAGAAAUCCCGCGAGAAGUUGAGUUACGAAG